UUCCCUAGAGUUAGUAUUACCUCUAGGGAACUUCUGUAACGUGUCGCA
ncrna:unclassified sequences ssNA-helicase RNA